rnacentral:rRNA from 1 species
AUGGGCUUUAGCCCAGCUGGAGAGGGGGGAGGCCAUGCAGGCCGAAUCUGGCGCGACUGGGCCUUGCACGGCACUGGCCCACGUGCGUGCGAGCAGAGGAGGUCUGCGAGUGACACGCUCGUCCUCCUCUCGCGCAGAAAGAAGUGGCGGCGGUCUCAGGGAGCAGAAGCAGGGAGGCCAGUGGGUGCAAGGACGGCGCCGCAGGAACUUGGCAUGGCUGGCCGCGGGAUGCAGGGCAUGACGACGCGGGGACGGAGGUUCUCGCGGGAUCUGGCGAAUGCGGUCAACGGGCACGGCUCGAUGCGGCAGGAUGAUGCAGGGGAGCGGCUUCGUGGAAGACUAGUGGUGGCGCCGUUGGUCCUUCCGGCGACGGCAGACGGCAGGACGACCACCGGAGGCGGCGCGAGGGCGAGGGGAACGGAUUCCCGGCGGUGGGAGGUAGCGGCGCUGUUCGGUUCCUAG